ACAAUAUAAAACAAAAAAACUCUCCCGCCCAAAAACCUUUUUUUUUUUUUUUUAGAACACCUUAAUAAAUCUCCAUGAGUAAAUAUAUUGGAAACGUGGGGUGGAGCCUGACCUUUGACUCAUUCAGACGCGCGCAGCACAAGCUCCUACUUGCGGUCUACUUGGGUGACCACUUUUCCUGCUCCUAAACUCACCUAACUGUCAUGCUGCUCUCCUAACACCCCAAUUGCCUGGACCGGUGGGGGUUAUCCCAGUCCCCACUCGAUUGCCAUUGAUUGCUUUAGCAGCACUUACUCUUUGCUGUUCCAAGGACAACACUCAGCAACAUAGGAUGGUGGACGCACUCCCUCUGAGUGCACAGGAGCCGAGUCUGUCUCAAAAAGCUCUCCACAGUUCUACUGGUCAAUGCCUGUUACGAUUGUAAGAGAUAUUUAGAUGCUUCUGGACACAGGUACACAUGCGUGAACAGGAGGUCCGGAAUGUGCCUCAGGAGGGAGCCAAAGGCGGAAGUCCCCUCCAAGCAUUAAGCAGCCAUCUACUUGACCACCUGCCCACCGGUAUAAACCAAGGCCCGGCGGAGGCCUUACAAUGUGCUUUCAGGUGUGGAAAAUCCACCGUCGUCAGCAGCAAACUAUCACUACAGCUGUCAACUACCAGCAGGAGGGGUAGGUAGUGUCAAGUGAAAACUGCCGAGUCCAAGGAGUGGUGAAGUUGGCUCUUAUGUGGGUUUGGGACUAGAGGAGCUGCACCUUCAACACCAGUCUGCGACCAGUCCCAAGCAGGACUUCCCUGACUGCGCUAUAGUUUUGCCACCUAUGGGGUUGGCUGAGCCGAGCUUCAGGCCUAACGCUAGAGAUAUAGGCCCCUCUAAUAAUGGCGAACUCCACCUUCUCUGUACUAAUUUUACUUUGUCUGGUGCAGCGUUUAGCCUGAUUAGCCUGUUAUUACCUUUAAAAAGUUGUGCUGUUAUUUCAGUGCCAUGCUUCUGUAUUACUCUGCUUGAUAUUAAUAUUGUGCCUGUUUUUGCUGCUGUGGCAUUGCAAGUUCCUUUUUAUCUUAUGGACAGCAAAAAUUAAGAUUUAAAAAAAUAAAUAAAAUGUAUAUAUUGGAAACAUGACAUUUUCAUAAAUAAAG